CCUACGGGAGGCAGCAGUCGGGAAUAUUGCGCAAUGGAGGAAACUCUGACGCAGUGACGCCGCGUGCAGGAAGAAGGUUUUCGGAUUGUAAACUGCUUUAGACAGGGAAGAAACAAGACAGUACCUGUAAAAUAAGCUCCGGCUAACUACGUGCCAGCAGCCGCGGUAAUACGUAGGGAGCAAGCGUUAUCCGGAUUUAUUGGGUUUAAAGGGAGCGUAGGCCGGUCUUUAAGCGUGCCGUGAAAUUUUGUGGCUCAACCAUGAGAGUGCGGCGCGAACUGGAGACCUUGAGUGCGCGGAAGGCAGGCGGAAUUCGUGGUGUAGCGGUGAAAUGCUUAGAUAUCACGAAGAACCCCGAUUGCGAAGGCAGCCUGCCGCAGCGUUACUGACGCUGAAGCUCGAAAGCGCGGGUAUCGAACAGGAUUAGAUACCCGAGUAGUC
rnacentral:rRNA from 1 species